rnacentral:misc_RNA from 1 species
AAAGUCGUAACAAGGUUUCCGUAGGUGAACCUGCGGAAGGAUCAUUAUCAUCUUAUUUGAGAUUUUGGAACUAAACAUUCCAUCUUCUCAUAUAUCAUCAACCAAUCGUGAACCGUAACUUUGCCUCCAAUAAACAUUAUGUUACGUGAGUGCCCAUUGUAAGCACUACGUCGAUAUAUUUUAUUAUGUAUCAACGUGGAACACUCCUUAUGAAGUGGUUUAGAGUGCUCUUUGUUUACAAUAUGCCUUGAGCCCUUAAACAAGGCUCACACUUUCGUUUAUUGGUUGUAUUUAAAUCAUUUCUUUUUAAUUUACAAUUUGAACAAAUCAAUUCAAAAACAAAUGAACUGAAUUGUUUUCUUUUUCGAUAACUUCAUUGUUAUUGAUAAGAAAAUCUACAAAAAUGUAAUGAAAAAACAAAAACAACUCUUAGCAACGGAUAUCUUGGUUCUC